GAGAAAAAGUGAUACCCGCAUCCUGCCGCUGGGGUGACCUGGCUGGCCCUGCGCCUUCAGAAAGGAACAUCUCUUCUGGACAUGUUCACGUACUGGCUAAGUUGGGUUUGUCCAGCAAAAAGUAGUAUCUUCCCACUCUGCAGAAACUGGCUCUAGAGAUGUGCAGGUUGGUCAGCACAGACCUCCCCCACCUUGGGCCCGCUCCACGAAGAUCUAUACCAAAGCAUCUGGAAGUAAAGCUCAACGCUUGCCGCUCUCCUCCUCUAACGCUGAACUUUGUGAGACAGCACAGCAGUGUCUGAGGGACCGUAAGCCUGCUCUACUCCAAGCAGUCAGCCAAGCAGUCGACGUGGUAAUGCGUGGCUCUGUGCUGGCCCAUUUAUCCUUCUUUCAUUGCAUGUGGUGUAGAAGACUUUUGGGUCUUGAUUAGACACAAAGGACUGCUCUGGAUGGUUCUAACACAGCCUACCCA
ensembl:lncRNA